CCUCUUCACCAGGAGCAUGAGCUGUGCAGUGAUGCUGCUGUUGGUGGGGGCCUUAGCUCCUGCUCAGGCCAUAAGCUGGAGGUGGCACUUCUGGAGUCGGUGCUCCAAGCAAGGGUGGCUUCUUCCAGAAGCAUGCAGAAUGGAAAUGGACCAUGAAAGGUAUCAUGUGCUGGUGAAGGCAGCUGGGGCAGCACUAACAGAGAGUAGGGAGCUCCAUGGAGCCAAACCUCUCUUCCCAGAGCUGUUGCUGAAGAUAAUUGGGUUCUGUGCAGGCUCCUGCCCACCUGCUACCAGGGCGCCGUGUCUCAGGCCGUGACAAAGGAAAACAGAAUGGUUUAAAAGGCACGUUCUCGUGAAACAAUGGAAAAAUUAAUCCUGGAUGAGAAGUUACCCUACUAAGAAGAAAUGCACCUAUUUAAAGUGCCACGACUCCUGGAGAGGCAGAGGAGAGCCUUGCUGUGUGCUGGGGCCGCUGUGCCCACCACUGCCAGGAGAAGAGGAGCUGGGCAGGCUCCGCGGGGUGCUGCCGCCCUCCUGAAUGCCUCUGCACAACCUGGGGGCUUUUGGACGAAGCCUGCAAAAGCACAGUUAUUUAACCCAAUGUAUUGCUGCAGUACUCGAAGAUGCACACCCCGUUUGGGCUGCCCUCGUGUGUGCAGGUGUGUAAGUAGUUGUGCAAAGCCUGCUGCGCUCAGGGGCUGAUGGCAGCACCUGUGGGACGGGGGAAGGAAAUCUGCAGCGACUGCUUCCUAGAUGGAUAAAUGUCACUGGGUACAUUUGCCUUGCACCAGGAAACAUUGUUCUGCCAUGCACCUAAGCAGCAUUUAUAAUAUCACGAUUAUAAUUUUUAAGUGGGCUUUUUUAUACGCUGGAAGUAUAGAUUAAAGACUACUGCAUAAUUUUCAUGGUGCGUUGUAGCUUUUCCUUCUUUCAAAAUGCAGAACAAAACUGCUUUGGAAACAGCAAACACCAGCUGAAGGUUCGCAUGGUUACACAACCUAAUUAUAAACAUUCAGCGAGCUCCAAAAGCACAGCGGAGUAAAUAAAUGUAUCACACAGCUGAAGAAUGCAUCCCUUAUUGUCAGAUAUUUAACAGUUUUGAAAGUAAUUAAAAGCAAAGUAUCCGUUUGAGUCUGCAAUUUAGCAGAAGUUUAAAUUUUAUUUCGUAAAUUGGAACGUAGCUGAGGAUAACCCCCUAUGCAAACAAUGAAUAUGGCAAUGAAUACUCAGAUUUCUGGAGUUGGAAAAUGAGCAAUUUCUGUUGAAAUGAUAAACAUAAUGAUUUAUUUUCAUUCAUCUUAUAAAAUGAAAGGAUACACACAUUAAAGAAAUGUGACAUCUCUUGUUCUGUUGUCGCAGGUUAUUAUACAGGGGACUGCGAUGGGGACUGGACUGCAGGCUGUGGCUCCUUCAGCACAGGGAGCGAAUGGACCCGUUAGUUCAUUAGCAGCAUCUCCCCGCUCUGUUGUUUGGUUUGAGGAACCAAAGUCCAUUUUACUGCUGAAUUUUAUGUGAUGCUGGAGGAGGUAUUCUUGAGAUAAACAGUAUUACCCACCAGAGACUGAUAUGAGAUGAUAAAAGCCAUUUUAUUUACGGUAUUUUCAGCUAUCUUGUCAGUGUAAUGUAUAGCAUCUUGGGAAAAUGCUGGAUUUAUUUUAACCUUGCUCUGAGAAGUGGAUUUGCUGUAUACCUGUCCACUGAGCCACAGCUCUCGUCUGCUGAUUUUUGAUGCUGUGAUUUACGUUCAGCUUUCUGGGUCACAAUAGCUGUGGCAACAUACUGCAUAUUACGCCUCUCCUAGAAGUAUAACCAUGAAGGCAACGUCUCUUAUUUUAGCACUAACAAGUGCAUUUACUUCACAUUGCCUCGGGAAGGGCAGAGGACACUUAUACCUUGCCUACGUAAGGGCUGGUUCCUGCAGCUGCCCGUGCCCUGCAGCCACUGGCUCUGCCACUGUGCUUGCAGGGCAAAGCACAUCAUGCUAAGAAGGGCCAACUCUUAUACCCAACCCACCGCCAACAAAAAAAGUAGCCACUACAUGAUAGCAACUGCCCUGCCCUGAAAAUGAGUCCGUCACAUUUUUAGGCAACUUUUCCCUCUGAGGGAAGCCCAUUUUUAUAUCUUACCCAGCCAGGUGUUUGGGCUCUGUUUUUAAUUCCAGAGUGUGCUGAGCAGAAGCUCACAAUGGUGAGAUUGGCAGCCCUGCCACAGACCUUGGCCCAGCCAGUACUGAGUACUGUCAGCAGGAACCUCACAUCAUUUAUGGUGUUUGUGGUGAUGACGGGGAUAUCACAGCUUUGGGUCUGAAGAGAGAUUGGCUGUGCGCUCUUCCUGCCAGUGGAGCUCUGUCUGGAAGGGAUUUCAUCCCAGAACGAUGCCCAAGAAUGGACCAAAAAUGACUGCUGGUGUGGGAGGUCAGUGCUGGCUUUGCUGGUGACUUUUUGUGGGUUUUCCUUUCUGGUUUGCAAUUUGUGCCUCUCAGAGACAGUAUUGGCACAGCAGCACACCGACCUAACUCUGCCUUUUAACAGCAAAGAAAUAGUAAGUACAGCUUAAAAGGAUGACUGCUUAAUCAUAAAAAACUGCCUCCAAACGUUGAAUUCAACGUGGUUCCAUUUGUACCAAACUCAAGAAAGAAAUUUAUUAUUCAGGUGCAAUGAGGCCUCCUAUCAAGACAUCUCCUCACUUGCUCUCCAGAUCCUCUCUCGUCCCUGACCUUUUCCAUUUGUUUUCAGAGUUGAUGUUGCUUUCAGUGAAUGGAUUUUAACUGCUGCCUUUCGAGGUUCAGCAGAGUUCUGUAGAGAUAAAAUUUGAAAGUCUGAAAAAUUAAAAGUCUUACCAGAAGAGAAGCAACUUGGAGACAAAAACAACAGACUGUUUUUAUAAACCGUUUUGUCACUGUGUAGACUGUUCUGGUUUAAACCUUCUCACAUGUGCUAAUGUAAGCUGAACUGAUUCAGAAUAACAAUCUGCAGGUGUUUUGUUCACUUACUGUGUGAUAUGUUGUUGACAUUAAAGGCUAUUCAGACCAUAUCUAA